AUAAGCUCGCAUACAGGAAAGGCAGAAGCUAGUGUUAACAAAGGUUUCACAACAAAACAACACUAUUUUCUUAAUCUGACUUUCUAACCUAUGUUUAUUCGUCAGGAAAGUUCCAAACGCUCAUUACAUGUUCAAGAGAGAUAGGGGGUAAAACAUCUAUUCGUAUUUGGGAGGUAUCAUAAUUUAUGACAGGGAAGUUUUGACUAUCCAGGAGAUAAGAAAUUCACAGAAAUGUCUUCACUUUGGAAAAUCGUCAUAUUUUUGAGCUUCGUUUUAAUCAUAAGUGGAAACGGAGAGAACCAGUAUGCCUGGAAAACAUCAAUGCUGAUCCCUAUGCCGAAAAGAUAUUGUUAAAAGUAGCGGAUAUUAUUGAUGAACCUAUUCAUCUCCCGGAUUACUAUAAAGGAAGACUUUUGGAUCUGUACAAUGGCACUCUCAUGGGUGUACGCAGUCUCCACCGUUCGGGUCACUCUGUAGUAAAAUGUGAAAAGGAUGCCCUUUACCACGAAAUUCCCAUUGCAAUUACAGACGUUUUUGCUGAAUACCGCUGGCAAUUGCACUUCUUAAACUGGCAAAAACAUGGGAGUGUUUUCAUUAAAGGAAUCCACUUGAAAGCUACAGCCGUUAUCAAGCAGGAGCUAAAGCGCGGUGUAAAGCCAACUGUCCAUAGGUUUACAAUUGAUGAUGUUUCCAAACCUUCCAUAAAGUUUACUGGAAUUAGUAGCUUUAUUCAAGGAUUGGUGGGAAAUAUUGGCACUAUUGUGGUCCGAAUUAUUCCAAAACUGAUUAACAAUGCUUUGGAAAAGCCAUUACACGUUGCUCUAGAGAAGGCUAUUAAGGAUAUUUUUAGUGUGAAUUCACGAAAUUCUUCUAAUUAACGUUCCAGAGCUAAAAACUUUGACGUGUUACUUAUGUUGCAGAAACUGUGGAUGUAUUUUGUAUUAAUGUCUGUCUACAACAAUAACGAAAUAAAUUUAGCACUAACGUCAAAGUAAAAUUAGUAUCAUUUGAAGAGUUAUCACUGGAAUAAUCGUAAAUAAACUAAUUUGGCGUAAUUUUGACACCAUACAAUAAAAUAUAUCUUUAAUUUACUAACACUUAA